rnacentral:ncRNA from 1 species
UUAUUAUACCAAAAGGGAAUUCCCCUUUGUUCGGUGUACAAGUAAAAUUAGAUUGAAAAAUUAAGUGUAUUAAAAAUACACCUAUUUACUUGGAAAAGAGCCAUUCAAAGGCUCUUUUUUUUAUGGUAA